UCAGACUGAAAAUGAUCUCUGACACAUCACUGGUCUGAGGUCAGACCCCUGAGCCCAAAGCACUGUUGUGCAUUUAGCUAAUCAGCUGCUGUUGUAGCAGACUGAUGAAACCUGUGCACGCACACAC